UCCGUAGGUGAACCUGCGGAAGGAUCAUUACUGAGUGCGGGCUGCCUUCGGGCGCCCAACCUCCCACCCGUGACUACCUAACACUGUUGCUUCGGCGGGGAGCCCUCUCGGGGGCGAGCCGCCGGGGACUACUGAACUUCAUGCCUGAGAGUGAUGCAGUCUGAGUCUGAAUAUAAAAUCAGUCAAAACUUUCAACAAUGGAUCUCUUGGUUCCGGCAUCGAUGAAGAACGCAGCGAACUGCGAUAAGUAAUGUGAAUUGCAGAAUUCAGUGAAUCAUCGAGUCUUUGAACGCACAUUGCGCCCCCUGGCAUUCCGGGGGGCAUGCCUGUCCGAGCGUCAUUGCUGCCCAUCAAGCCCGGCUUGUGUGUUGGGUCGUCGUCCCCCCCGGGGGACGGGCCCGAAAGGCAGCGGCGGCACCGUGUCCGGUCCUCGAGCGUAUGGGGCUUUGUCACCCGCUCGAUUUAGGGCCGGCCGGGCGCCAGCCGACGUCCAACCAUUUUUCUUCAGGUUGACCUCGGAUCAGGUAGGGAUACCCGCUGAACUUAAGCAUAUCAAUAAGCGGAGGAAAGGGCGAAUUCC
rnacentral:rRNA from 1 species